GCAGGAACAGGAUGUGGGUCUCCUCUUUGUCUCCAAGCCUGCAGCUCAAGGCUGCUGGCAACUGCUCUGGGGAAUUGCUGCGUGGAAGAACAAAGAAAACCGACCAAAACGUUCUGCCAUUUUGUUCAUUAGCUGAUAUUUCCUGGGGUUACUGGAAAAGGUCAUAAUAAUUUUGUAUCUUCCUCAAAGGCCUGUAUGGUUUUAUUCAGCUCCAGUAAUGGACUCCUCCCUCCACCCCCAGCUGGAACCUACCUAUCUCAAUCCAGGUAAUUUGGAAAAACUGGUUAUCAGGCCAGUAUUUGUGGGCUUCUUCAUGAAAGCCAUUUGGGGGGAAACCGACUUACAGAUUUUCCAUAUCUGUCCUGUGUAGCUUACAACAGGUGAAAGACAAUAUCAUAAACUAAGGAAUAAUAGUGUGUUCCUAUUGAUAUUUCAUUUUUUGCAACUUUUGGAAAUGCUAAAAUACAACUGCCAAGUAUAUCCAGUUGAAGAUAUGUAUGUUUUAUUGGACUUUAUUUUGGGGGGCAGGAAGGGGGUGGCUUUGAAAUUUCUUACGUACAGCUCUUUGUUUCAUUGGUUUAAAAUGGACAGUGUAAAGCAAAGGCUGUUUCAAUGUCUGCUAAGGCAGAAAGUUUGAAAAACAACCACUGGACAUUACCACUUCAAAUAAUCUCUGAUACAAGGAAUCAGCAGCAGGAGUUAUUUCAGUUAAUUUCCAUCCAUUUCUUUCCUGGUGAGAGGCAGGAAUGCAAGUGAAGAUCCCCUUUGCAAAGCAUUUAAAAUUAACUUUCCAUUUGGAUCUUUUCUAAGCCACACGCUCACAACAACGUUGAGUGAGAGAGAAUGCGGAAAACAACAGACCACUUGUAUAUGCAUAAAAAAAUCAGCACACGCCAAUACAUUGGAGACACUUUGCACGUGCAUUGCACAGUUAUCCCACAUAAACUGUAUCUCACAGGAUCUUGCUGUGAAUGCAUAUUGAAAGGGGAAAUGAACAACGGAAUCCUAUGUAGCUUUGGUAGAACAAAAUAGGUGAACCUAUUUCUGUUUGAUACUGGCAAAUGCUGAAGAUACACCAUUUUACUCUGCCACCUGAGAUGUGUGUUUUCAAGGCCAAGCCUUUUCAUGUAAUUGCAAUCUGUUUUAACUGUUUUUAAUUUUUAAUUGUUGCAACUCACCCUCGGAUCUGCUGGUAAAGGGCAAAUAAUUAUUAUUAAUUCCUGGACUGUAGUUUGUAACAGAGUUAAAAUUCCCAGUUCUGUUAAAAACUUCAGUUCCCAGGAUUCUUUGGGGAAGCCCUGAUAAUUAAAGGGGGAUAAGAGUAUUUUAAAUGUAUGGUUUGGAUGAUCACCUCUUAGUUAUGGGUUGUAUCCAAAAGUGUCACUCAGUUGAUGGUAAGGCAACAAAAUGGAGAAGUAAAUAAUCCUCCCCCCCCAUAGAGGAUUGGAGGCUCAGGGUUUCAAUCAGAGAAAUUUUCCUAUCUUUAUAGCACUGAUAAUAUUCUCCUGCCACUUUCAGCUAGAAUUUACCUGGGUGCCUUUGUCAGCCUAAAUAUAAAGGUUCCCUGGAAGUAAUCUAUAAAUGUAUCUUUUCUCAGAAUAAUUUGUACAUGAAUAGUAUCAGGCAGAAGAAUGCUGGCAUCUUUUUGUCUGCUCUUUGAAAAAUCAAAAUGGUUCAGUUGUUACAUAUUUUAAUCACACUCACAACCCUGGGCAGUGCUUGAAUGAUUGAAGCCCCCCUCCAAAAUUAGCAGUAGCUGAGAAGAGUCAUGCCUCACUUAGUCACAUUUUGGGUGCAUUUGGAUUAUAGUGUUAGUUUUCCUGGUUAUAAUGCUAGCUAGCAUGUUUAUCCUGGAUUCUGACGUUCUUUUUAUACUAUGUUAACUGGUACAUUAGGGAACUGUGGCCCUUUUUAAUUGAUAGACCAUCAUGUUGCACUAAAUUUUAAGUGGCGAGAAAGAACUGUAUGCUGGAUUACUACCUCAAAGUGUGUCAUCUGAAAUGACAGUUCAAAAUUCUCAUGAUUUCCCCAGUUAACCAGGUUGCAAACUGACUUUUUCUGGAUGCAAAGAACACAGAAGUGAGCACUAAACUUCUGCUAGAUGCGGCUAGUUUUCCAGAAGUGGCUUUUCCGUUGUGUGAAAGAUCCCAUGAAACAAGGAAAUGUAUCAGGUAAGGAAGCAUAAGGAAACUGAAUAAAGUGCUCUCUGAAUGAAAAGGAUUCUUCUGAGAGCCCAAAACAGUUCAGCCCCCAUGAGCUGGUGCCCCUGCCUGACACAAGAAAACUCAUAGAUCUUGGAGCCCUACGUUGGCUGAAAUGCAUCACAUUUCAGCAUAUGGUUUAUCCAGCUGAGCUACUUGGGUAUGGGCAGCAGAAAUAGAUCUGGAUCUACUGGUAGAGAUCUAGGUGACUUGCAGUUGAUAUACAAUUAUUUCUGACCCCCAGCUGUUUAACAGUAGCAGCAAUAAAAUGACUCCCCCCCCCAAUUAUACUGCUAAAAUCAAUAAAGCCUGGGGUAACCAAAUGUGGAUUUUUGUCUGGAAUGACUGUGAGCUCAGUUCCAUUCAGGUACUCAGAACAAAUUAUUGGGCUUACCGGUAGUUGCUUGGAAACACCAUGUUAUUUAAUUCUAAGUGUCUUCUCUUGGUGAAUCUUGGGGUUCUAGUGUAAAAUAAAGUUGAUUCCACAAGCCUGAGGCCUGCCCAUCCAAUAUACACUAUGUCCCUUUGGUGAUUGGCCCUCCUCAAUGGACACUGUAGCAUCAAAAACACAGUGUUGGUAAGGAACAAAUCAAUCUUAUUCAAAUGCCUUCCCAAAAAGUAGGACUAUCCAUCAUAUGCAUAACUGCACAAUUCCCAGUUAUUCCACACCAUAUAAACUACAGUGCACCACCAGCAGAGAGCUAAUCCUGCAGAGCUAAUAGUUCCUGGUGACUUGUUACUUUUCAGGAAGAAGAAGCUGAUGAAAUUCUUGAGUCCCUUCCCCACCCUUCAUUCAUGGGUGGGUGGGAGCAAAACAGAAGUGUUUGUUAGAGAUCAGUUGUUUCUGCUCAAACUGUUGCAAGAAAUGGAGGUGGAUCAUAAGUGUCUAGUGAGUUUCCCUGAGUGAUAUGAUAAUGAUUUAGUUUCCUAUGACAAAUGUGCAGGGAACAGAAUCACGCUCAUGCUAGGCUGAGGAGCUGAGAUUUACAGGUGUGGAAUGCUAGCAAAUCUCAUCUGUGGCAAAGGAUCAGUUCCUAAUGGGCUUUGCUUGUUUAACCCAACCCUGCUGCUCCUCCGAAGACCACACAGGCCUGGCUCCUUGUCAAUUUUCCCAUCCAACUAGCAAUCAAAUUUGCAUGCUCUUUAAAAUACCCUUUUCCCAAAUGAAAUUAUCAUGGGGAUGGAAAGUUGAGACUAAACACGAGAAUAAUCAAAAGUGUCUUAUUAUGUGGCACGUGAGUUAGCUUUUGUUUCAAUUCUCUAAUGUAGCUUUUGGCAUUAAAUACAUUUUUAGAAGCUAAAAUAGGUCACACAUGCGCUGACUGGUGCUGUAUCUGUUUUAUGUCUCAGACUCCUGACUUUUGCCUACGUUACUUAAAAAGCAACGGAAGAAAAAAGAAAAGACAAUUUAUGAAAGGGGUGACAGCUUGAUUCUAUUAAAGGUAGUCAAAUUCUGAUUAGCUGCACUUUCCCUUAUGUCAAUAUUCCUAUUCAAUUAAACAGGCCAAGGAAAAGCUUUCAAGGGAGAAAUACACCCCCCACCCCCAUGCACAUUUACUGCAAAAAUCAGUGCCACUUUCUUCAAUGGGGUUUUAAUCAUGUUGAGAGUAUAUUGACUAGAUCAGUAGUAGGGAACCUUAGGCCCUCCAGAUAUAGUUGGAUUCCAACUCCCAUCACCCCCCGGCCAAUUUGUAUGUCACAAGGGCAUUACUGCAAGGCAGUCAUGAAGAAAGGCAGCCUGAAGUUGUGUUGAUAGAGUAACUCUGGUGAGAUGGCUGCGACUCAGAUUCAAGCCCAGCAACCCUCCUUUAUGUUUUCAUAAUCUCAAGUCUAGACUGCUGCAACACACUCUGUGAGGGACUGUCCUUUAUAAUUAUUCAAAAGCAAAAAGGGUUGCUGGUGUUCUGUUAAGUAUAGGUGACCAUCAUCACCCUACUAACUAGCUUUCCAGAGACAGUGUGCUGAUUUUGUUUUUUUUUGCCUAAAGAUCCACAGAAGGUUUGUGCAUUACAUAUUCAAGAAAUGGGAGUUGCAGUUUGCUGAGCUACAUUUUCAUUUGUCCCUUGCAUCUGAGAAAAGAGAGCAUUUUAAGCUAUUGUGGCAAAUAACUACUGAAAAACCUAACCUGAUUUUUAAAAGCCAUCUAAGCAAGUGUUGAUCCCCAUAUCUUCUAGCAGUGAAUUCCAUAAGUUAAUCCUUGUGCUGUACAAACUUAUUUUCUUUUGCCAGCUUUGAAUCUAAUGCCACUCAGUGGUGCUGAGUUCUGUUAUGAGUGAGCAAAAAUAUAUCCUCUAUCCAGAUUUUCAUUUCUCUCUUCAAAACAAUUUCUCCCAUCAACUAAAAAUCUUGUUCAUUGGGAAGUGUCCCAUCUUCUAGGAUUGUUUUCGUUUUCCCUUUCUUGUAUGUUUUCCAGCACAUAAUAUUCUAAAUGUGUCUGCACCAAGGAUUUACAUAAUGGCAUUAUGAUAUCAUGACAUUUUAUCCUUUCCUGAAAAUUGCUAACAUUAAAUGGGCCCUUUGUACUGCUGCAAUCUGUUGAGUUGAUCUCUUCAGUGAAUUUUCCACAGGGAGUCCAAAUCCCUGUCACACGCAGUAUAGACUUCAUCGAUAUAUGUGUUAUAUAUAAUUUUGUCCCAAUGUGCAUCAUUUUUGCCCUGCACAUUAAGACUCAGCCUGCUUCGGAUUACACCAACCUGAACCUAUUGGUUGCCAUUUGUAAAUGUAGCUGUAUCACUGUUAACUACUUGAAUAUUUAUGAGUGCAGUAGAUGACAAUGUAGAGUGUAGAUCUUUCCUCCUUUCUCCCUAUUGUGUAAACAGUUUGGACUGGUUUUAUUUACUGCUAGUAGUUUUAUACAGGUCGUACUUUUCAUUUGGCCUUCUCUAGAAUGUCUAAUGAGAAAAUUAAGCAGACACACAUCAUUGCAUAUCACAUCUCAAAUAUUCUUUGGGCUUUUUUACAGCCCAAUAAAAUCACAAUUAGGCAAUACAGUUAAUGAUACCGGUUACAUCUCAGUGCUCAAACUGUAUUUCUGAGGAUAGUCUCGUGACUUCUUUAUGGUUUGAGAAUCACUAAUUGUUUGUAGGAAUGCAGGUUCAACUUAAAACUGAGAACCUGUUUUGCAGAUGACAAGCUCAGAGCAAGCACUUCCUCCUCCUCCUGAAAGGUAGCCAAGAAAAAUUGUCAGGGCUGCUGGCCCUCUGCGGUUUAUGAUUCUAAGGACCCGUAUCAUAUGGUAACCAUUUUCAGUGACUGACUGGAAGCUGACAUAUUAAUGUUAAUGGAAUCUUCUUUGCAUUAGAUGGAUGUGAUGUGAGCAUCAACUGUUUGCAGACAAUUCCAUCACAGAGUUUGUCUUUUCAAGAGCUCAAAAGCUAGGGCUGUUGGUCUUCCUUUUUCCAACUUGAUAGUAACAUAUUCUCAACCUAUUAUAGAUAUCUCAUUUUUAGACUUUUAUUGAUUGAACCAAAAAAAAUUCCAAGAUUCUACCCCUGCCCCGGUUUUGGCCAGUAAAAUCUAAUGAUAUCCAUUGUCUCAAUCCCUUCCUCUACAAAUUUCGAUUUUGGGUUUCAUUUCUCAAGAUGGUGCAGUCUGAUGGAAUUCUGGAGCCUGAUUUUAUCACUCAAUAUACUCAAUAUAUAUUGAUUCUGUAAAUGCAACUUUUUUAACAGAUGGAGCUUUUCUUGCCGUAGAAUCAGCUCAAACUUUCUGCAAUUAUUUUCUGUCUUAAAAAAAUAAAAUAAGGUUUUUCCUCCCCCACACAAUAUUUUGUAUGCGAUGAAUACAUAAUGAAAAUGCAUUUUCAUUUUGUCAAUUCUUCUUGUCUCUGUGAGAAGUUAUAAUUGCAUCCAUAGAAGUUCAACAAAAGACCAUUUAAUUGUUUAAGGAAACCGAUUUGCAUCACAAAUGUUCUCUCCCCCUGUGGAUUACAUAUCUGAGUAGGGCUGUGUGUUUCAUUUUUCUAAUGGUGAGUACAUUAGCCCAUGUCCUUCAGUGAAAACGUAGAUUGCCAACAAAUGUAGGAUUUAGUUUUUCAUUUGAGAUUAUUCAAGCAGAGGCUUUAUCUCUUAAGAAGCUUGUGAAUAGAAUGAUUGGUUGCCCAGUGGCCAUUGCUGAUUUUAGUGGAAAUUCAGAUGAAGGCUUAAAUAUGUCUCAAGUCUUUUAAUAAAAUUAAUAGCAAGGGCCACUCUGAAUGUCAUUGUUGAACUAACAUAGCAAGCAAACAGAAAACGAUUAAGCUGGAUUUUUAAAUGUCAUUUCUCACAACUAUUUUCAAAACCUUAAUCCGUUGUGUUACAUUCUGGGCUUUUCUCGUUGUAACUGAAAAUAUAGCUCAACCUCUUUGAAUGCAAAGUUUAAAAUGUAGGAGUAAUGGUGUUAAUGCAGCAGAUGGAAGUAAAUGGGAGAUUGCUUUCUGGCUUUUUGUUGCUAGGUUGAGACAUCUGUUGGCAUGAUAAUGCAAAUCUGACCUGUCAAAAUUUUGGAAAUCCUACUAUUCUAUUUUUAUAGAAAUGGGACAGUAAUUUUGGGCAGAUCAGUGCAAAGAAGCACUGAGUUGUCUCCAAUGUUGCACAAGUGAAAUUCUGCUUGUGCAAGGGGGCUUCCCUUCCUCACCUUGCACUCACAAACUCUGCUCUAGAGAUCCCCCCCCAACGCCCUGAAGCAGAUUCCGUGAGUGCAGGAGGGGGGCUGCAGCAGAGCGGGGAGGGGUUCCACUGCACAAGUGGAAGUGGCAACAUUGGAAACAAGCCACUGCAUGGAAACGAACAGUAAUGCAAUGCCAUUUCUUUCAGAACGGACAUAAGCCCUAUUAGAGCAUUCCCCAUGAAGUCUUGGAGGAAAAGAAUGAGGCUUGUUGGCCUUACCCCCAGUGUCAUGCCCCUGCUGGUGUUGCUGUUCCACUGCCCAUGCAUUGGGGGAAGGUCUGAAGAUAAAGAGUUUGAUUUAUGAAUAUAGGCUCUGUUUAGAACACUGAUUGUGUGUGGAUCUAAAUCACAAGGAGAGUCUAGACUUCCUUGUGUGCCUGAUGUUAAGGACAAGAUGGCACCGACUCCCAUUCCAUGUCAACAGACGGGCAGUAGAAUCUUCAAUGCCGAGAGUGGCGGACUAGUUUAAGGUGUUUAGGGCAGGACAUGCAACCCACACCAUUGUUACUGUGGCACCUGGCUACCAUUCCACACGCACCCCAGCAGCCACACUGCCUGAGGCAGCUGCUUCACACUUCCUGAUGGAAUGGCCGCCCCUGUCUCCACAGGUGCAGCAGAAUGAAGUAGGCGCUCAGGAUGAAGUAGGCACUCAAGGCAAUAGAAUUUAAUUUAAUUUUGUGUGUUACCCCAUCCUUCCUCUUAAAGGGGCCCAUGGUGGUGUAGAUAUAUUCCAGCAUCAAUAACAGAACAAAGCAUUAAAAACCUUUGUAUUUUAAAAACCUGCUACCCUGAGCUUUGGGAGAAAGAGCGGGAUAGAAAUGGAAUAAUUUUUAAAUUUUAUUUAAUGGCUGCUAAAGCUGGUGUUCUCCAGUAACUCUACAGAUUUUGGCACCAGACCCUCCUGAGUCAAGCUACCUCUUAAGAGAGGGGGAAGGCAUUACAGGAGGGGAGAGGCUUGUAGACAAAUGAUAGUUUUCUCAGAAAGCCUAAAGUACUGUGAUAGAAGCAUCAUCACUUGUGCUCUUGCACAUUCCUUUCUAGAUGUAUAUAAGGGGAGGGUUUUUUGGUUUCUCUUUUAAUUUUGUCAUUACAUUCUUUGCGGUUGAUUGAUUUCAUUAUUUAUUCAGAACUAGUUCAUUCAUUUUAAUAAUUCCCUUUCUGUUUCAUAUCCCAUUGCCUUCAGAGGGAGACAGACUAGUGUUCUGCUGCCUGUAGUUUGCGUUUUCCAUACAAAUGGGCAUGGCAUUCUCAGGCACAGCAUUAUACCUGUCAAAUUCCAAACAGUUUGGGGAGAGGGUAGCUAUUUUAUAGGCUAUUUUUGAAAGACACAGACACAGUCUAAACAACUUGGCUCUUCCUAACUCGCUGUAACUUUUCUGUGCAGGCUUGUUCUGGACUAGUUUUUAUCUGAAUAGAAAUGAAUAAGGAAAUAAUUCAGUGAGCAAGGAGUGGUCCCCCUGUUUGCAUUCCUAUUCAGUUUUAUAGCUAAAAUGAAUGCAGUGUAUGGGGCUCAUUCAUUUAUGUUUUUUAAAUAAACACAAGAAGUACUUCUUUCCUAAGUUCCUCAGUAAAAUCUUGUUAAAUAGGUUUUGUGUGACUGCAGUUGAGGACCAAAAGUAUACCAAUGGCAAUGAAGCUUCCAUAAGCCC